rnacentral:rRNA from 1 species
GACGUAGGAGGCGAGCGUUGUCCGGAUUCAUUGGGCGUAAAGAGCACGCAGGCGGUUUGGCAAGUCGGAUGUGAAAACCCGAAGCUCAACUUCGGGCCUGCAUCCGAAACUGCCCGACUAGAGGUAGGUAGGGGAGGUCGGAAUCCUGGUGUAGCGGUGAAAUGCGGCAGAAUAUCAGGAGGAACACCGGUGGCGAAGGCGGCG